ACUGGUGUGGUGGCAUGUGCGUCUAGUCUCAGUUACUUGGGAGGCUGAGGCGGGAAGAUUGCCUGAGCCCAGGAGUUCUGGGCUGUAGUGUGCUAUGCUGAUCAGUGUUUGCACUAAGUUUGGCAUCAGUAUGGUGACCUCCUGAGAGGGGGUGACCUCCUGGAAGUCGGAGACCACCAGGUUGCCUAAGGAGGGGUGAACUGGCCCAGGCUGGGAAUGGAGCAGCUCAAAACUCCCAUGCUGAUCAGUAGUGGGAUCAUGUCUGAGAAUAGCCACCCCACUCCAGCCUGGGCAACAUAGUGAGACCUAAUCU
rnacentral:SRP_RNA from 10 species